rnacentral:rRNA from 1 species
UAUUGCACAAUGGGGGGAACCCUGAUGCAGCGACGCCGCGUGAGCGAAGAAGUAUCUCAGUAUGUAAAGCUCUAUCAGCAGGGAAGAAAGAAAUGACAGUAACUGACUAAGAAGCACCGACUAACUACGUGCCAGCAGCCGCGGUAAUACGUAGGGGGCAAGCGUUAUCCGGAUUUACUGGGUGUAAAGGGAGCGUAGGCGGCUUAGUAAGUCAGAAGUGAAAGCCCGCAGCUCAACUGCGGGACUGCUUUUGAAACUGCCAGGCUAGAGUGUCGGAGAGGUAAGUGGAAUUCCUAAUGUAGCGGUGAAAUGCGUAGAUAUUAGGAGGAACACCAGUGGCAACGGCGGCUUACUGGACGAUGACUGACGCUGAGGCUCGAAAGCGUGGGGAGCAAACAGG